rfam:Lupinus angustifolius cultivar Tanjil chromosome LG05, whole genome shotgun sequence.
AGGUGCAAUCAUACCAGCACUAAUAUACUGGAUUCCAUCAGAACUCCACAGUUAAAUACGCUCGGGCGAGAAUAGUAUUAGGAUGGGUGACCUCCUGGGAAGUCCUCGUGUUGCACCUC